GGCUGCUGCUGCUGCUGCUGAAAAGGCCAGCCGGGCUGGAGAGACCUGGCAUUGGCGCAUCUGGGAACCGACGUCCGUGCGCGGCUGGCUAGAAUGCUGGACUCGCCUCCGCAGCGCUGGCCUGCAGGGAUUAGAAGACAUGUGGGGUCAAGGAACAGGAAGCUGACCUGGAUGGAAGUUGAACAGUGAUCUUUGCUCUCUGCCUGGCUCCUGAGUCCUCUGCCAUGUUCCUGGAGAAGAGGAGCCAGCCAGGGUAAGAAGGGCAGGGGCUUAGGGUGGAAACGCCAUGUGGGUGAGGAUCCUGCCUGAAACAGCUUUGAGAGUCCUGCGAUGACAGAUUGGCCCCAUGCCAGGCCUUAUCUCUUUGGACAUCCCAAACAGGAAUGACCAGCAUGUCCGAUCCUGGGACUGGGAGCCGGAAAGGGAUGAGGGAUGGUUUUUCCACUCCAGGGGAGUGUCCAGAGGGAAUGUGGAGCAGAGCAGGGGCGACUGGUAGGGGGAGGGCCUGAGCUAAAGAAUGUGGGGGAGUGUCAGACCAGUCUGGGGAGAUGGAGUGGGAGUGGAGGGAGACAUGGAGACUAGAAGGAUCUCAGCUGGAGAGAUGGAGAAAGAGAAAUCUCAGGGUUCUUUGGUUUCAGUGGCACCGUCGUCUGUAGGAUCAUCUCAUCCCUCAGUUGACUUUAUCAUGUCAACUCUUUAUCUGUCAACCCUCCCCCAUGGGGAAGAGACCCACCUAGAAACACACAGACAGACAGAGAAACAAGGACACAGGAAUAAUAUGUGUAAUGAGGAGUCUAAGUCCAUUUGUUGAUGUUUGCUGACAGAUUUUAAGCCUCACCCUUCCCUCUUCUCUGUGCCCUACACCUGGACAAGCUGAUAAGAAAGUCUGGGUGCACCCUCCUUUGGUGUUUGAGGGGGAAUAUUCACAAGCCCCUUCCUGAGGGAACCCUCACCCCUCAACCACAAUAAAAACCCAGGCCAGUCUCCUUCCUGGCUCUCCCAACACAUCUGGGACCUGCUUGAAAGACUGCCCCUGCUCCCCCUGGAGACCUCAAUUAUGUAAAUAAUAAACCUUUUCAUACUCUC
rnacentral:lncRNA from 1 species